AGAGUUUGAUCCUGGCUCAGGAUAAACGCUGGCGGCGUGCCUAACACAUGCAAGUCGAACGCGUCUCGAGCAAUCGAGGCGAGUGGCGGACGGGUGAGGAACACGUGGGUUAUCUACCUUGAGGUGAGGAAUACCGGCGAGAAAUCGCCGACAAUACCGCAUAUGCUUCGCGAGAAGCAAAGUUCAGCAAUGAACGCCAC
rnacentral:rRNA from 1 species